rnacentral:rRNA from 1 species
UACGGGGGGGCAAGCGUUGUUCGGAAUUACUGGGCGUAAAGGGCUCGUAGGUGGCCAACUAAGUCAGACGUGAAAUCCCUCAGCUUAACUGGGGAACUGCGUCUGAUACUGGAUGGCUUGAGUUUGGGAGAGGGAUGCGGAAUUCCAGGUGUAGCGGUGAAAUGCGUAGAUAUCUGGAGGAACACCGGUGGCGAAGGCGGCAUCCUGGACCAGUACUGACACUGAGCGCGAAAGCCAGGGAGCAACGGG